rnacentral:rRNA from 1 species
GUGAGACAGGUGCUGCAUGGCUGUCGUCAGCUCGUGUUGUGAAAUGUUGGGUUAAGUCCCGCAACGAGCGCAACCCUUAUCCUUUGUUGCCAGCGGUCCGGCCGGGAACUCAAAGGAGACUGCCAGUGAUAAACUGGAGGAAGGUGGGGAUGACGUCAAGUCAUCAUGGCCCUUACGACCAGGGCUACACACGUGCUACAAUGGCGCAUACAAAGAGAAGCGACCUCGCGAGAGCAAGCGGACCUCAUAAAGUGCGUCGUAGUCCGGAUUGGAGUCUGCAACUCGACUCCAUGAAGUCGGAAUCGCUAGUAAUCGUGGAUCAGAAUGCCACGGUGAAUACGUUCCCGGGCCUUGUACACACCGCCCGUCACACCAUGGGAGUGAGUUGCAAAAGAAGUAGGUAGCUUAACCUUCGGGAGGGCGCUUACCACUUUGUGAUUCAUGACUGGGGUGAAGUCGUAACAAGGUAACCGUAGGGGAACCUGCGGUUGGAUCACCUCCUUACCUUAAAGAA